GCUUCAGUAGCUCAGUUGGUUAGAGCACCUGACUGUUAAUCAGGGGGUCGUUGGUUCAAGCCCAUCCUGAAGCGCCA
rnacentral:tRNA from 26 species